rnacentral:rRNA from 1 species
CGGCGAGUGAGCGGCAAAAGCUCAAAUUUGAAAUCCUUCGGGAGUUGUAAUUUGUAGGUUGGGAGACCCCGCGGCUAGUGGCACCAAGUCCCUUGGAACAGGGCGCCUUAGAGGGUGAGAGCCCCGUAGGUACCACAACACCGUCUUGUGUCUCCUCUCCAAAGAGUCGAGUUGUUUGGGAAUGCAGCUCAAAGUGGGUGGUAAAUUCCAUCUAAAGCUAAAUACCGGCGAGAGACCGAUAGCGAACAAGUACAGUGAUGGAAAGAUGAAAAGCACUUUGAAAAGAGAGUGAAACAGUACGUGAAAUUGUUGAAAGGGAAGGGCUUGCAAGCAGACACGGCCUUCGUGCCGGGCCAGCAUCGGUUGCUAGGGGUGGAUAAGGAACAAGGAAUGUAGCUCCUCGGAGUAUUAUAGCCUUGCGCGAUACACCCACUGGCGACCGAGGCCUGCGGUAUUCUUUACCUAGGAUGCUGGCGUAAUGGUUGCAAGCCGCCCGUCUUGAAACACGGACCA